UGUGAAACCACAGAGGGUGGAGCCCUGGCUUUUCCCUGGAGAGGAAGUGGCUGCCGGAAUGCCAGAUGUGCCAUUCCCACAGCAGCUGGUGGAGGGCCCGGCUCUCCCAGGUGAGAAGUGUCAUCCAGUAAAACCAGCGUGGAAGAGGCAUAGAAAUAUCAACCUCCACUCCCAAGGAUCAUAAGCUUCCAUCCCCAAGGACCCCAAGGUCACUGGUCUUCAGAGCAAGUCUCACCCCAGGCUCUUGAUGGAGUGAGAGUAAUCUUUCCACAACAUCAUCUGCCCAUGUCACUCCCUUGCUUAAAGCCUUUCUGUGGCUCCACA